AGAGUUUGAUUCUGGCUCAGAACGAACGCUGGCGGCGCGCCUAAUACAUGCAAGUCGAGCGAGAAGGUGUAGCAAUACACUUGUAAAGCGGCGAACGGGUGAGGAAUACAUGGGUAAUCUACCAUCGAGUGGGGAAUAACCAACCGAAAGGUUGGCUAAUACCGCGUACGCCUCCGAGUCUUCGGGUUCGGAGGGAAAGCCGUGCUGUGAGUACGGCGCUCUUUGAUGAGCUCAUGUCCUAUCAGCUUGUUGGUAGGGUAACGGCCUACCAAGGCUUUGACGGGUAGCUGGUCUGAGAGGACGAUCAGCCACACUGGCACUGCGACACGGGCCAGACUCCUACGGGAGGCAGCAGUAAGGAAUAUUGCGCAAUGGGCGAAAGCCUGACGCAGCGACGCCGCGUGGGGGAUGAAGGUCUUCGGAUUGUAAACCCCUUUCGGGAGGGAAGAUGGAGCGAGCAAUCGUUCGGACGGUACCUCCAGAAGCAGCCACGGCCAACUUCGUGCCAGCAGCCGCGGUAAUACGAAGGUGGCAAGCGUUGUUUGGAUUCACUGGGCGUACAGGGUGUGUAGGCGGUUUGGUAAGCCUUCUGUUAAAGCUUCGGGCCCAACCCGGAAAGCGCAGAGGGUACUGCCAGGCUAGAGGGUGGGAGAGGAGCGCGGAACUCCCGGUGUAGCGGUGAAAUGCGUAGAGAUCGGGAGGAAGGCCGGUGGCGAAGGCGGCGCUCUGGAACAUACCUGACGCUGAGACACGAAAGCGUGGGGAGCAAACAGGAUUAGAUACCCUGGUAGUCCACGCCCUAAACUAUGGAUACUAAGUGUCGGCGGGUUACCGCCGGUGCCGCAGCUAACGCAUUAAGUAUCCCGCCUGGGAAGUACGGCCGCAAGGUUGAAACUCAAAUGAAUUGACGG
rnacentral:rRNA from 1 species